CGGGGUGUGGCGCAGCUUGGGAGCGCGCUUCGUUCGGGUCGAAGAGGUCGUGGGUUCAAAUCCCGCCACCCCGA
rfam:Saccharopolyspora rectivirgula strain DSM 43113 contig00038, whole genome shotgun sequence.